rnacentral:rRNA from 1 species
UACGUAGGGUGCGAGCGUUGUCCGGAAUUAUUGGGCGUAAAGAGCUUGUAGGCGGUCUGUCGCGUCUGCUGUGAAAGUCCAGGGCUCAACCCUGGGAUGCCGGUCGAUACUGCCGGACUAGAGUUCGGAAGAGGCGAGUGGAAUUCCCGGUGUAGCGGUGAAAUGCGCAGAUAUCGGGAGGAACACCUAUGGCGAAGGCAGCUCGCUGGGACGUUACUGACGCUGAGACGCGAAAGCGUGGGGAGCAAACAGG